AAAACAUGUCUUUUCGGUUUUUUUGGAAAGUCUGGCCUGCCCAGUGAAUAUUUAACGGCCGCGGUAUAUUGACCGUGCAAAGGUAGCAUAAUCAUUAGUCUUUUAAUAGAAGUCUGGUAUGAAAGGUUUAACGAAAUAUAAUCUGUCUUAUAUUUAUUUUUAUAAUUUAACUUUUAAGUUAAAAGGCUUAAAUUUUAUUGAUGGACGAGAAGACCCUAUAGAGUUUUAUAUAAUUAAUUUCAAUUAUGUUAUUGAUUAAAUAUAAUUAUUGAAUUUUAUUUUUAUUUGGUUGGGGUGAUUAUAAAUAAAUAAAUAACUUUUAUAAAAAAUAACCAUUAAUUUAUGAUUAUUAGAUCCAGUAUUAUUGAUUAUUAGAAUAAAUUACCUUAGGGAUAACAGCGUAAUCUUCUUUCAGAGUUCAAAUUUACAAGAAGGCUUGCGACCUCGAUGUUGGAUUAAGAUAAUUAUUAAGUGCAGAAGCUUAAUUAAUAGGUCUGUUCGACCUUUAAAUUCUUACGUG
rnacentral:rRNA from 1 species